rnacentral:tRNA from 1 species
GCCUGGGUGGCUCAGUUGGUUGAGCCUCCGACUUCGGCUCAGGUCAUGAUCUCAUAGUCUGUGGGUUCGAGUCCCGCAUCAGGCU